UGAACCGUUAUAACCGGCGAUUUCCGAAUGGGGAAACCCAGUGUGAUUCGUCACACUAUCAUUAACUGAAUCCAUAGGUUAAUGAGGCGAACCGGGGGAACUGAAACAUCUAAGUACCCCGAGGAAAAGAAAUCAACCGAGAUUCCCCCAGUAGCGGCGAGCGAACGGGGAGGAGCCCAGAGCCUGAAUCAGUGUGUGUGUUAGUGGAAGCGUCUGGAAAGGCGCGCGAUACAGGGUGACAGCCCCGUACACAAAAAUGCACAUGCUGUGAGCUCGAUGAGUAGGGCGGGACACGUGGUAUCCUGUCUGAAUAUGGGGGGACCAUCCUCCAAGGCUAAAUACUCCUGACUGACCGAUAGUGAACCAGUACCGUGAGGGAAAGGCGAAAAGAACCCCGGCGAGGGGAGUGAAAAAGAACCUGAAACCGUGUACGUACAAGCAGUGGGAGCACAGAGCAAUCUGUGUGACUGCGUACCUUUUGUAUAAUGGGUCAGCGACUUAUAUUCUGUAGCAAGGUUAACCGAAUAGGGGAGCCGAAGGGAAACCGAGUCUUAACUGGGCGUUAAGUUGCAGGGUAUAGACCCGAAACCCGGUGAUCUAGCCAUGGGCAGGUUGAAGGUUGGGUAACACUAACUGGAGGACCGAACCGACUAAUGUUGAAAAAUUAGCGGAUGACUUGUGGCUGGGGGUGAAAGGCCAAUCAAACCGGGAGAUAGCUGGUUCUCCCCGAAAGCUAUUUAGGUAGCGCCUCGUGAAUUCAUCUCCGGGGGUAGAGCACUGUUUCGGCAAGGGGGUCAUCCCGACUUACCAACCCGAUGCAAACUGCGAAUACCGGAGAAUGUUAUCACGGGAGACACACGGCGGGUGCUAACGUCCGUCGUGAAGAGGGAAACAACCCAGACCGCCAGCUAAGGUCCCAAAGUCAUGGUUAAGUGGGAAACGAU
rnacentral:rRNA from 1 species